UCCUCUUUCAAUUUCAAAAGUUCAAGCUCUCAUUGAAUCAUGUACAACAAAAUAUAAGGGUUUUUUAGAUAAAGUAAACUCAAAUAUAUAAACCCUACAAUGAAACGAAAGCAAGACGAUGGUUUAUCCUGUAGAAGGAAAAACGAGAUAUCUCCUAUGAAACGAAUACAAGAUUCGCUGCUUCACGGCUUCCUUCAAACAAAAAUCGGUGUUUACGACGGCCAUGGUGAGGGUGCUGAAACAAAUUGUAGUUUACUAUUGUAAGGUCCUUUAAUUGGAUUGGACCUAUAAUGGACUCCAUUCACGGCAUGACAGUCCAAGUGAGGGUGUUCCUCGGGUUCUUGUAUGCUUCAGCAAUAAUCUUAUCAGAGGAGAGCCCCUCAAGCUUGUUGACGCUGGAGAAUCCUAAAGAACCUUUGUUUACAUCAAAGAUACUAUUGAGGUUUUCCUAUUGAUGAUGGUAGGUUAUGCGAUGUUAUGUUCCUCUAAUAUUUAUUAUUGUUGUCGGUUCCUCUGCUAAAGAUUUUGUGACAUGUUAGUCGAUAGGAAAACCCCACUAGAGCCAAUGACCACAUCUCCAAUGUAGGUAACCCAAACAAUGAGGUUAUAGUUAGGAAGCUUGCUGAAAUGAUGAUCCAGGUCUAUUCAAAGGUAAGUGGAGAUUAACCUCUUGAAACAUCUACAAUCGAUGUGAGCUCGAAAGAAUUUCACAAUGAAGGAUAUGAUGACAGUGACAAGAUAAUUAUUGACAUGGCCAUAAUCAAUAAGAAGCUCGUGUAAACAACAUGGAGCUAAUAUGGCAUUAAGAAAACCUUUGGGUAGCAGCCCCUGACUGCUAUAGUAACUGUCAACAGAUUGUUUAGUCUUGCAACUGCUCUUGCUGCGUGAUAGUGUUACCCCUAUGUUUCGAAAUUGUGAGCUCUCUCUUCCUUAUCAAUGUUUUAUAUAAGACGCGAAGGGAUACAUAUUUGUUGUUGGGUGAUCAGUGGGAGGCGACGUGCACCUGCAUGGCGCUGAGUAUUGCAGCUUGUAUGUUGGGGGCUUGGGUGAUCAAGUAUUUCUUUACUUGAUUUUGUGUUGUGCAUGAUGGAUUCUUAGAGUUUGAAGAAAUUAAAUCUUGCUGCAGUGGACCAGUAACUUCAGUCUGAUAGUGAUGUUGGUAAGCUAAACUCAGAUCUGGUUGCUACCACCUCCACCAAUCUUGUUUUGUACAGUUGCUUUUAAGGAUGAAGGUGCAUCUUAGCUAUAGAUUCAUGUGUGAAACAAGGUGAAGUAAGAGGCUGCAUGACUAUUUUGUUCUCUGCCACCACAUGGAUUCAAUGUUUCUGGAACUUCGCUUAUUACUUUUAUUUUAGGAUAAGUUGCUUCUGUUAAAUUCUAUUAAC